UACGUAGGGGGCAAGCGUUGUCCGGAUUCAUUGGGCGUAAAGAGCGUGUAGGCGGCCAGGUAGGUCGGUUGUGAAAACUGGAGGCUCAACCUUCAGAGGUCGACCGAAACCAUCUGGCUAGAGUCCGGGAGAGGAGAGUGGAAUUCCUGGUGUAGCGGUGAAAUGCGUAGAUAUCAGGAGGAACACCGGUGGCGAAGGCGGCUCUCUGGACCACAACUGACGCUGAGGCGCGAAAGCUAGGGGAGCAAACAGG
rnacentral:rRNA from 1 species